rnacentral:rRNA from 1 species
AUUGAACGCUGGCGGCAGGCUUAACACAUGCAAGUCGAGCGGGGUGAUGGUGCUUGCACUAUCACUUAGCGGCGGACGGGUGAGUAAUGCUUAGGAAUCUGCCUAUUAGUGGGGGACAACAUCUCGAAAGGGAUGCUAAUACCGCAUACGUCCUACGGGAGAAAGCAGGGGAUCACUUGUGACCUUGCGCUAAUAGAUGAGCCUAAGUCGGAUUAGCUAGUUGGUGGGGUAAAGGCCUACCAAGGCGACGAUCUGUAGCGGGUCGGAGAGGAUGAGCCGCCACACAGGGAGUGAGACACGGCACAGACUCCUACGGGAGGCAGCAGUGGGGAAUGUUGGACAAUGGGGGGAACCCUGAUCCAGCCAUGCCGCGUGUGUGAAGAAGGCCUUAUGGUUGUAAAGCACUUUAAGCGAGGAGGAGGCUCUUUUGGUUAAUACCCAAGAUGAGUGGACGUUACUCGCAGAAUAAGCACCGGCUAACUCUGUGCCAGCCGCCGCAGUAA